GGCCUGAUGGUCUAGUCGUAUGAUUCCUGCUUUGUAAGUGUCUCCACAACCACAACACAGAAGUCGAGUUUACUAAUUGCGAGUAGGGGUAUUAAUAGCUUGAAUGCAGGAGGUCCAGGGUUCAAUUCCCUGUCAGGCCC